rnacentral:rRNA from 1 species
CGAACGCUGGCGGCAUGCCUAACACAUGCAAGUCGAACGCCCCGCAAGGGGAGUGGCGAACGGGUGAGUAACGCGUGGGAACCUACCCAGCAGUUGGGGAUAACCGCGGGAAACUGCGGCUAAUACCGAAUACGUCCUGAGGGAGAAAGAUUUAUCGCUGUUGGAGGGGCCCGCGUCGGAUUAGCUAGUUGGUGAGGUAAUGGCUCACCAAGGCAUCGAUCCGUAGCUGGUCUGAGAGGAUGAUCAGCCACACUGGGACUUAGACACGGCCCAGACUCCUACGGGAGGCAGCAGUGGGGAAUAUUGGACAAUGGGGGGCAACCCUGAUCCAGCAAUGCCGCGUGAGUGAUGAAGGCCUUAGGGUUGUAAAGCUCUUUUACCGGGGACGAUGAUGACGGUACCCGGAGAAUAAGCCCCGGCUAACUUCGCGCCAGCAG